CACACAUACAUACAUACACUGCUGUGUGUGUGUGCUGUUAGUGUGCUGUGUGAGGGUGCUGUUAGUGUGAUAUGUGUGUAAGGGUGCUGGUAGUGUGCUAUGUGGUUGAGGGUGUUUGUGAGGGUGCUGUUAGUGUGCUGUGUGUGAGGGUGUUGUUUGUGAGGGUGCUGUUUGUGUGUUCUGUGUGUGAGGGUGUUUGUGUGUGUGUGUGUGUUUGUUAGGGUGCUGUUAGUGUGCUGUGUGUGAGGGUGCUGUUUGUUUGUGAGGGUGCUGUUUGUGUUCUGUGUGUGAGGGUGUUUGUGUGUGUGUGCUUGUUAGGGUCCUGUUAGUGUGCUGUAUGAGGGUGCUGUUUGUGUGCUGUGUGGGUGUUGUGUGUUUGUGAGGCUGCUGUUUGUGUGCUGUGUGGGUGUUGUGUGUUCGUGAGGGUGCUGUUUGUGUGUGAGUGUGCUGUGUGUGUGUAUGUGUUUGUGAGGGUGCUGUUAGUGUGCUGUGUGUGAGCAUGCUGUGUGAGUGUGUUUGUAAAGGUGCUGUUAGUGUACUAUGUGUGAGAGGGUGCUGUGUGUGUGUGUGUGUGUGUGAGGGUGCUGUAUGUGUGUAGGUGCUGUGUGUGUGUGGGCGCUGUUUGUGCUGUGUGUGUGUGUGGGUGCUGUUUGUGUGCUGUGUGUGAGGGUGCUGUGUGUGUGAGGGUGCUGUAUGUGUGUAGGGAUUGUGGGGGUGGAGGUGGUGGUUGCUUAGUAAAUAUCCCCCCUCCCUUCUUACCUUAUGUAGGGAGGGGGGAUCCUUGCUGCCAUGUGCCAUCCAGUGGCGUACACAUGACCCAUGGGGCCCCGGUGCGAAAAUUGAUCCAGGGGUCCCCCCCCAUGCUUACUCGGAGCGGGUUGGGGCCGCAACACAUGGCGGCGGGCACCUGGUCGCAGGGCUGCGACCCCGCGACCGCGGUAUGCACACACACUUAAAGGACCACUACAGACACCCAGAUCACAUCAGCUCAAUGAAGUGGUCUGGGUGCCAGGUCUCUCUAGUUUUAACCCUGCAGCUGAAAACAUAGCCG